rnacentral:pre_miRNA from 12 species
UAAAUACUCCCUCCGUCCGGAAGUACUUGUCGUCAAAAUGGAAAGAAAUGGAUGUAUCUAGAACUAAAAUACGUCUAGAUACAUCCAUUUCUAUGACAAAUAAUUCCGGACGGAGGGAGUAUAAU